AAAGCUCAAAUUUUGAAUCUGGUGCCUCUGGCAUCCGAGUUGUAAUCUAGAGAAGUGUUUUCUGCCUUGGACCACACAUAAAUUCCCUGGAAUGGGGUGUCAUAGAGGGUGAGAAUCCCGUUUGUGGUGUGGACUACCUUGGCUCUGUGAUACACUCUCAACGAGUCGAGUUGUUUGGGAAUGCAGCUCAAAAUGGGUGGUAAAUUCCAUCUAAAGCUAAAUAUUGGCGAGAGACCGAUAGCGAA
rnacentral:rRNA from 1 species